rnacentral:rRNA from 1 species
AAUGAACGUUGGCGGCGUGCUUAACACAUGCAAGUCGAGCGAGAAAGCUCCUACGGGAGCAAGUACAGCGGCGGACGGGUGAGGAACGCGUAAGAAUCCUCCCUUCAGUGAAGAAUACCCUUGAGAAAUCGAGGAUAAUACUGCAUAUUCCCUACGGGGCAAAGGUGGCUUUAUGCUGCCGCUGAAGGAUGAGCUUGCGUGCUAUUAGCUAGUUGGUGAGGUAAAGGCUCACCAAGGCGAUGAUGGCUAGCCGGCCUGAGAGGGUGUACGGCCACAUUGGGACUGAGAUACGGCCCAGACUCCUACGGGAGGCAGCAGUGAGGAAUAUUGCGCAAUGGGCGAAAGCCUGACGCAGCGACGCCGCGUGGAGGAUGACGGUCUUCGGAUUGUAAACUCCUGUUAAGCGGGAAGAAAGACCAGUCUCUAAUACAGAUUGGAUAUGACGGUACCGCUAGAGAAAGCACCGGCUAACUUCGUGCC